rnacentral:rRNA from 1 species
GACGAACGCUGGCGGCGUGCCUAAUACAUGCAAGUAGAACGCUGAAGAGAGGAGCUUACUCUUCUUGGAUGAGUUGCGAACGGGUGAGUAACGCGUAGGUAACCUGCCUUGUAGCGGGGGAUAACUAUUGGAAACGAUAGCUAAUACCGCAUAACAAUGGAUGACACAUGUCUUAUAUUUGAAAGGCGCAUUUGCUCUACUACAAGAUGGAACGGCUUUGAAUUAGCUAGUAUGUAAGGUAAUGGCUUACCUAGGCAAGGAUCCAUAACCGACCUGAGAGGUUGUCCGCCACCACUGGACCUGGACCCGGCCCCGGCUCCUUAGGGGAGGAAGAGUAAGGGAAUUUCCGGAAAUGGGGCAACCCUGACCGAGCAACGCCGCGUGAGUGAAGAAGGUUUUCGGAUCGUAAAGCUCUGUUGUAAGUCAAGAACGGGUGUGAGAGUGGAAAGUUCACACUGUGACGGUAGCUUACCAGAAAGGGACGGCUAACUACGUG